AACGAACGCUGGCGGCGUGCCUAACACAUGCAAGUCGAACGAGAAAGUUCCCUUCGGGGAGCAAGUAAAGUGGCAGACGGGUGAGUAACACGUGGGCAACCUGCCCAAAGGUGGGGGAUAACCCUCCGAAAGGAGGGCUAAUACCGCAUGAUAUCCAUGAAACUCCGGUUUUGCGGAUCAAAGUUGGCCUCUACUUGUAAGCUAACGCCAUUGGAGGGGCUCGCGGCCCAUUAGCUUGAUGGUGAGGUAACGGCUCACCAUGGCUUCGAUGGGUAACCGGCCUGAGAGGGCGAUCGGUCACACUGGAACUGAGACACGGUCCAG
rnacentral:rRNA from 1 species